UACGGGGGGAGCAAGCGUUGUUCGGAUUUACUGGGCGUAAAGGGCGCGUAGGCGGCCACGACAAGUCAGUUGUGAAAUCUCUGGGCUUAACUCAGAACGGUCAACUGAUACUGUCGGGCUAGAGUGCAGAAGGGGCAACUGGAAUUCUCGGUGUAGCGGUGAAAUGCGUAGAUAUCGAGAGGAACACCUGUGGCGAAGGCGGGUUGCUGGGCUGACACUGACGCUGAGGCGCGAAAGCUAGGGGAGCGAACGGG
rnacentral:rRNA from 1 species